UCUCCCCAUCUAACACCGGCAGCUCCCAGUUCAGUGCAGUGUUCUGGCUCUCCACGGGGACAGAGCACCGAGCUCUCUUCCCUCCCUGCUGGAUGCUGUUCCUGCCAGGGCCUUCAGAGACGCUCACAUU